AUACUCUGUUUUCUCUUCAAAUCGAAUAAAUCUUUUGCCUUUUACUAAAGAUUUCCAUGGAGAGGAAUGACCAUGAGUUUCAUUAAAUUUUUUGAAGCCUGGUUCACACCAAGCU
rnacentral:snRNA from 1 species